AUUGAACGCUGGCGGCGUGCCUAAUACAUGCAAGUAGGACGCAGUUGCGAACGGGUGAGUAACGCGUAGGUAACUACCUAUUAGAGGGGGAUAACUAUUGGAAACGAUAGCUAAUACCGCAUACUAGUAGAUGGACCUGCGUUGUAUUAGCUAGUAGGUAGGGUAAAGGCCUACCUAGGCAACGAUACAUAGCCGAGAUGGGAGGGUGAUCGACCACACUGGGACAGAGACACGGCCCAGGAUCCCACAGGAGGCAGCAGUAGGGAAUCUUCGGCAAUGGGGGGAACCCUGACCGAGCAACGCCGCGUGAGUGAAGAAGGUUUUCGGAUCGUAAAGCUCUGUUGUUAAGGAAGCGGUACUUAACCAGAAAGGGACGGCUAACUACGUGCCAGCCGCCGCGGUAAUAC
rnacentral:rRNA from 1 species